CUGUGGGGAUUGUCAUUCUUUUAUGAAGCUUGCAUCAAGCAUUACAAAGAGGGACAUUAUUGUUAGGGAUGUAAACAGAUUUCAUCAUUUUAAGGAUGGAUGUUGUUCUUGUAGGGAGUUCUGGUGAAUGCUAGUAAGUAACUCGGUCAUGGCGGUUGUCAAUCAAACUAAACAUUGUUGAUUGACUGUCCAAGCUCUUUGUAAAAAUUCGGGAUUGAGAACAAAUUUCAGCAAUCACCAUCUCAUUCAUCUGAGAACCUGCUAUACAUUGUGCAACAUGUUAAAAUCAAUUAAGUAGAUACGGAACUUCUUUUGAUGGGCGGACUGGAAUUAAGUGGGAAAUAAAAUUGGGAAAAGACUCUUAGCAAGUGAAAGUGGAGAUGGCAACUAAAAGUUUACAGGUAAGCAAACUUCAUUCUUGAAAGUAAGGGCAAGGAGCUGCUUUUCUACCUUGAGAUAGUUGUGCUGUUACGUAACUAACUAAAUUAGCAUAACUAACAACCUGCUUU